rnacentral:rRNA from 1 species
UGGGCUUGACAUGUUCCCGACCGCGGCAGAGAUGUCGUUUCCCUUCGGGGCGGGUUCACAGGUGGUGCAUGGUC